rnacentral:rRNA from 1 species
AUUGAACGCUGGCGGCAUGCCUUACACAUGCAAGUCGAACGGUAACAGGUUAAGCUGACGAGUGGCGAACGGGUGAGUAAUGUAUCGGAACGUGCCCAGUCGUGGGGGAUAACUGCUCGAAAGAGCAGCUAAUACCGCAUACGACCUGAGGGUGAAAGCGGGGGAUCGCAAGACCUCGCGCGAUUGGAGCGGCCGAUAUCAGAUUAGGUAGUUGGUGGGGUAAAAGCCCACCAAGCCAACGAUCUGUAGCUGGUCUGAGAGGACGACCAGCCACACUGGGACUGAGACACGGCCCAGACUCCUACGGGAGGCAGCAGUGGGGAAUUUUGGACAAUGGACGCAAGUCUGAUCCAGCCAUGCCGUGUGCGGGAAAAAGGCCUUCGGGUUGUAAACCGCUUUUGUCAGGGAAGAAAAGGUUCUGGUUAAUACCUGGGACUCAUGACGGUACCUGAAGAAUAAGCACCGGCUAACUACGUGCCAGCCGCCGCAGUAACAC